AAUAAUAUAAAUGGAGAAUACAUAGUUUUCUCUCUCACCAUGGGUCCAAUGAAAACAAUCUUUCUGCCUUUUUAAAGGUAGGGGUAAGCUCUGCGUACACACUACCUCCUCAGGCCGCACUUGUAGGAAUACACAAGGUUUUUUGUUGUUGUUGUUGUUGGUUUUGAAACUAGCAUGUGAAUGAUGCCUAUAACAUUAUACAACAUAAAUAAGAUGCUCAAAUAGUCAUAGAACAAAUAAAACAUGCAACAAGGCAUGUAACAAACAAGGCAUAAAAAGGCUAAACAAACUACCCCAAGCAUGGAUAAAUCUUGGCAUCCGUAUAUACGCUCGUCACCUCGCAUAUACGUUACCCCAAACAAAUAGCACAUAGCAAUAAUAUCAUUUUUAGGAAAAAUUCUCUAUAUCGAAGUCAACCAAGGUACUUACCUCUAUCCCAGACUAGCUCUAUUCCUCAAAAUCCGUUUUUCCUUCUCCAACUCCAUCAAACGAGCCCGAUCUAACCCAAAGAAUGCUCCACAAUGUCGUUGGACUCAAUUCCAUAAGCAAAAGAUAGGCUUAGGUCAAAGUCAACAAAAGUCAAACCCAGGCCACAUGAUCAGAUCCCGAAACCAGAGUAAGGAACUAGAGUCAAAUUCUGUUUACCCAUAACCUCGUGAGUCCAUAUAUGUUAUUAGAUUCUCAAUCCUAGUCCAAAUCAUAUCAAAUCCUCAAAAGUACUUUUUGAUGAAGUAUAAAUCCUCAAAAGUACUUUCUUAACAUUCAAGUAAGAAAUCCUCAUUUCCUGCUUGAAUCCAUAUUUAAAUGACAGAUCUUAGGUUAAAUUCAUAAAAUAAAUUCAAAUAAGUUAGAAUCAGUUACCCCAAGCUCCAAAAUGGUGAAAAAUAACAUAAAAAAUCACCAAAACUCCGUAUUUGUACAAUCUGAAACUUUUGCAGUGCUGGCCGCACUCUAGUCUGUAGAAGGUUGUGCUUUAGACUACACUUCAGUUAAAUGAGGGGGUUAUGCAAAUGUCAAAAUGUCGAACAGUUUGAACCACUGAGAACUAGACUUAAAGGGUUACAACUUUCAUUUUUGGAUUAUCCCCAAAUUCAUUAUAGAUUAGGAUAUAUACGUUCCCGAAGUUAGACCAAAAACUUGCGGCCCUCCUGUGUUGCGGAUUACUGUGCGGUCUGCACUUCCCCAGUGCUGGCCGCACUAUGGUCCACACUAGGACCUGCAAUAGCUACAAAAAUAUGUUCCAAAUGCGCCAAACACCUCCGAGCCCCUCGGGUCCUAAUCCAAUCAUUUCAACAAGUCCAUUGACACUAUACAGACCUAUCCAUGGUCUCGAAACACGAAACGAAGCGCAUUAACUCAAAUCGAGGACCAAAAUGAACUUAAUGGACUUCUAAGUCUCAAGUUAGCAUGCAAGUGUACCAAACCACUCCCGAGCCCUUCAGGACCCAAACCACCAAUAUCCGCAAGUCAUAAAACACCAAAUGAACCUAUAGGAACUCUCAAAUCAAGGAGCGAGGUGCUAGAACUCAAACCAGCCGGUUUGAUUGUUACACUAUUAUCAAUCUAGCAAUGAUAAGUUUAUCUCACCUCUAUUAGUCACUUAGACUAUAGAGGCGAUUGCCUAUGUCAUGUGUGUUCGACAUACCUUUUACACUUCGAAUUUAUGUUUUAGACAUAAAAAUGAUAAUUUUUACAUGAAUAUGCAAGAAUGGAGAAUUAAGCGUCAACUUACAUUAACUUCAAUAAUGUAGGUUUACAUGAACAUGAUUGGAAAAAGUUAAAAUAUGAAAGGAUUAGUAUCUUCUCGAACCCAACGACUUGCCAUGUCUUUAUAAGCAUCACAUGCUAUGGGUUUCAGUUCUCAUUGCAGUUCUCUACCAUAUGAUGCACAGAGAUGUAUUUCAUGUUCACUUGUAUAUGUACAAUAUUUCUUUAACAAAAUUGUACUUAGUGUUAGUAUGUUUCAUCUUCUCAUGGUACUUGGGAUCCAUUGUGUAGGCUAUUGCAGCUUGGCUAUAACGUUUGUGGUUUUUUAACAUUUGAUGGUUACUGAUUCAAUAGUACUAUCAAACUCAUCUAAAUAUACCAGAUAAAAGUUUAAGCCAAACAGCUACUUGUAUAGUUGCUAAAAGUGGUACAAAUUCAGCUUCCAUUGUGGAUUAGGCUAUGCAUGAUUGCUUCUUGCUACUCCACGAUGUGGCACCAUUUUUUAUCAAGAAUACAUAUCUAGAGAUUGAUUUUCUUUCAUCUAAAUCUCCUGUCCAAUCAGUAAAGGUGUAACCUUUGAGUUGUAGAUCUUUUUCUUGGUAACACAAGGAAUAGUCGGUGUGCCUUUGGAUACCUCGGUAUCCUUUUAGCUUCUUUCUAGUAUUGUUUUCCUGAGUCAUAUUGAUAUCUGCUAGCCUAAUAACAUAACAUAUAUUCGGAAUAGCACACAGCAUGAUAUGCAUUAGAUUAUCGGUUGCACUAGUCUAAAGAACUCCUUUUUAUUUGGUCCUCCUAUUGUGAAGUAUGUGGACAUAUCCUAUGGGCUGAAGCUUUGGCUCUAGAAAUAGAAGCGUUUAUGAGUUUGCAAUCUUGCGAAUCACCAUAUAAAAUCAUUCAAUAAUCUUCUUAAUUAUGCGUCAAGGUUAUCGGCAAAACCACCAUAUGUACGAGAUUCAUGAAUCAUGCAAAAUUCUUGUCAUUUCUGUCUAUUUCUAACUUCAUUCAAAGAAGACAGAUUCUGAAGCAUGGCUUUUGAAGAAUGAAAUCGCAUACCGAGGGGGAACGUUUUUCUCCUUUAUCUUUAGGGAUUAGAUAGAAAUAAACCCUAUGUUCUGAUGCCAAUGAAGGAGAAAACAGGAACACACAAUAUAUGGAUUCUAAUCUGCAUUCGUUCUUGGUUCUUUUGAGUGGGUGUAUUCGUACUUCUUUCACUAGCCAAUGUUACAAUCACAUGUAUUUGAAUAUGAACUGUAUAGAAAAGGUUCAUAAUCUGUCACACAUGCGUUACAGAUAGAUAAAAAUAUUUGAAAUCUGCUUACAAAGAACAAAGACCGGAAAAUUUUCAAUUUCUUUUGCUGGAAGAAAGAGAAGCAAAAAUAGCUAAUAAUAAAUACCCGGUGAAAUAAUAGAGGCGCACAGAAGUUAGUUGGGACACCAUCGUUAAAAAUAUCGCUAAAACGAAAGGAAAAAAGCAAUAUCCUUUAUAAACAAGAUAACUUGUUGUCUACUUGAACUGUCACUAAUUGGCAACCAAUUGUGUCUCUUCUCCUUUUCUUUCAUUUUAAUUUAAUUUUACUUUUCGAGUUCACCCACAUGGGUGACCUGGAUUUAUUUCCUUCAGAACUUGUAUGGUGGCAUGAACUUCACUUGAACAAAAAAAGUUCGUGAAAGUUGAAGAUUUAUGAGUGGAAACAAGUAUUUCACUUGAAAUACAUCUUUAUAUUUCAUAUUUUGCUUAAGGUUCAAAUAAUGUUUUACUUGAAACCCAGUGUUCAUGGCUAAACUAGAAUACUGAAAUAGUGUUCAUCACCAAAAGGGCUCUAGGUGAUCCUAGUGAGAAGUCGUUAACUUCUUUGAAUCUGAGUCGAAAAGAUUAGAGAAAAGAGAAAAGAGAAAAGGAAUGAAUAAAAUAAGGCCUUUUUUUUUACUUGAUAGUAGGACCUCCUAUACUUGCAGCUUCAAUGUUCUUUUUGUUUAGUUUGUAAUGUAUCUUCCAUUUGUCUUUUUCAUUUCCAAAAUACUAGAUGUCUUAAUAUCAUGCAUGUGGCUAUUGUCUUUGUAUAUGUUCUGAUAUAGUUUAUGAUUCCUGGGUAUUUUAUAUGUACAGGCAAAGCAGACCCCAUUUAGGAGUUAUUUACAUGACAUGAUAUCUCUGAUAAAGAAGGAGAAGGCAGAACGUGAAGCUUUGGGAGCGAUGCCUCUUUAUCAACGCACUAUUCCCUGAUCUGCCACCAUCCCUGUGCUUGCCAUUUGAUUUAUGCUGGUAAUAAUUGGAGCCUUCUUUGGAGAAAAGGUCAUAUGGAUGUUAUUUUGUUGUAUUGCGUGGAGGAACAUAUUGCUUACGCGUGGCUUGUAAGGAGCCAGGCCAUAUUUGCUCACUAAUAAAUUUUCUUCUGAACUGCAAAGUUUUGAGUGAAACUUUUCGAAUUCUUUUGGAUUUGGCUGCGUUUAAAAAGCAGUUGCAUGGUGGAGAUAUUUAUUCACCAUGGCAUGUCAUAUUUCUUUUUAUAUAUCAGGUUUAUGAGUUUUUCAGAUGGCUUAUGAAUCAAGUUCUUGGGUGUCUUAAGUCUGCCCAGCAGCAAUGUUUUGUGUAAAUUUUGUUUAAACACCAGUAUCUGAUUAGGAAAAUUGUCAAAUUUAUAUUGAUGUCCAUGGUUAUUGGUAUUUGA